rnacentral:rRNA from 1 species
AGAGUUAAACAGUACGUGAAAUUGUUGAAAGGGAAACGAUUGAAGUCAGUCGUGCUGGCGCGAAAUCAACCCUCUCGUCGAGAGAUCACAUGGCGUGGCGAGCCUCAAAACCGUCACGAAGCGUGAACUCUUUGCGAAAUGGAGCACUUUCGUGUCCGCUGGUUAACAUCAAUUUCGACCGUCAUAAAAAGGCUGGAGGGAUGUGGCUCCUUCGGGAGUGUUAUAACCUUUAGCGGAAUGUGGUGGUCGGGAUUGAGGAUUGCAACGAAUACCUUUAGGGCUGUUCCACCUGGCUUCUCAACGGUAUCCUGGUGACGACAGCUUGCUGACGUCGUUAGGAUUCGCCAUUGAACAGGCUAGAGUGUGAGCAAAUUCGUUAAGGAUGUUAACGUAAUGGCUUUAAACGACC